ACAUCAUCGUCGUCGCCUUCCCCGGUAUAUCGUGCUAGUCCUAUACUAAUAAUCAUCUAAUGAUCCAUUAAAUAAUUAUUUAUUCCGUCUUUCCCAUAUAUUUUCACGGCCUCUAAAUAUCAUUUUUCAUGUCACGGUCUACAUAUAAGUCAUCGUCCUCGCUGGAUAUUUUCACGGCCUCUAAAUAUCAUUUUUCAUAUCACGGUCUACAUGUAAGUCAUUGUCCUCGCUGGAUAUUUUCACAGCCUCUAAAUAUUAUUUUUCAUGUCACGGUCUACAUGUAAGUCAUCGUCCUCAAUGGCAUCGAUACUGGCACAUCAUCGUCGUCGCCUUUGCCGGUAUAUCGUGCUAGUCCUGUACUAAUAAUCAUCUAAUGAUCCAUUAAAAAAUUAUUUAUUCCCUCUUUCUCAUAUAUUUUCACGACCUCUAAAUAUCAUUUUUCAUGUCACGGUCUACAUGUAAGUCAUCGUCCUCGUUGGCAUCGACACUGGCACAUCAUCGUCGUCGCCUUCGUACUAGUCCUAUACUACUAAUAAUCAUCUAAUGAUCCAUUAGUAGGGAUGCAAACAGGGCGGAUCUGGGGGUGGAAGCCCAGCCCCGCCUCCCGCUCCGAAUCCAUGACGGGUUGAAAAUAGUUAUCCCAUAAUCCGUCCCGCCUUAUAACUCGCCUCCCGCCGGCACCCCGAAUCCGCCCCGCCAAAUAGUAUUUGUUUUAUAAAUUAUAAUAUUAUUAAUAUUUUAUAAAUAUAAAUCAACAAAAUUUUUAAUAUUAAUUGAUAAUAUUAUCAAGUUAUAUAUAAUUAAUAAUAUCAAUUAUAAAAAUCAAAAAUAUCAAUCACAACUGGCAACAAAAUUUAAAAAUUUUAAAUACUUAUAUAUGGAAAAAUUUUAAAGACAUACAUUCGGGGCAGAUUUGGGGCGGAUCAUGGCGGUGCGGAUUCGGGACGGAUUCGGGGCGGAUCAUGGCAGGGCGGAUUCGGGACGGAUAAAAUUUUUCCGUUUCCUGCCCCGAAUCCGUUUAUUUCCUCUCGUUUACUGUCCCAUUCGGGGUGGAUCGGGGAGGGAGCUCCACCACUCCGGAUCCAUUU
rnacentral:lncRNA from 1 species